AUGUCACUCUUUCCAUCCAACAUAAGAUGUAUAAAGUUUGUCAAAAUUCGGAUGUAUUUAGACAUAACUUAGUGUAUAGAUGCAUUCAAAUUUAGUUAAAGUUGAGACAUCUUUUGUUGGACGGAGUAAGCAUGUG
rnacentral:pre_miRNA from 1 species